GUGAAAGACAAAUUCUGUCUUUGAGCUGGUCUGAAGAUAACUGCAGUAACACAGAAUACCUUGUGAAGCUGACUGGAAACUUGAUUGGCAAAAGUGACCACAUGUUUGAUGUCUCAUCGUAUUGGACCUCAGAGACCUACUUUGAGCUGCCUCUGCCCUGCGGUUCAGCUUUUAAUGCUACAGUGAAGGCCAAGAACAGUGCUGGUACCAGUGAACCAUCCACCAUUGUCACUGGAACUACAGCAAGCUAAAUCACCCGCAAGUGAAGACAUCUCACAGAUGUUGCCUGGAGUGAGCUCAAGCUGUUGGGUCAUUAAACCAC
ensembl:lncRNA